UACGUAGGGAGCAAGCGUUAUCCGGAUUUAUUGGGUGUAAAGGGUGCGUAGACGGGAAUUUAAGUUAGUUGUGAAAUCCCUCGGCUUAACUGAGGAACUGCAACUAAAACUGAAUUUCUUGAGUGCGGGAGAGGAAAGUGGAAUUCCUAGUGUAGCGGUGAAAUGCGUAGAUAUUAGGAGGAACACCAGUGGCGAAGGCGACUUUCUGGACCGUAACUGACGUUGAGGCACGAAAGUGUGGGGAGCAAACA
rnacentral:rRNA from 1 species